rnacentral:rRNA from 1 species
GAUCCAGACUCCUACGGGAGGCAGCAGUGGGGGAUAUUGCACAAUGGGGGAAACCCUGAUGCAGCGACGCCGCGUGAGUGAAGAAGUAAUUCGUUACGUAAAGCUCUAUCAGCAGGGAAGAAAAUGACGGUACCUGACUAAGAAGCCCCGGCUAACUACGUGCCAGCAGCCGCGGUAAUACGUAGGGGGCAAGCGUUAUCCGGAUUUACUGGGUGUAAAGGGAGCGUAGACGGCAAGGCAAGUCAGAUGUGAAAGCCCGGGGCUCAACCCCGGGACUGCAUUUGAAACUGUUGGUCUUGAGUAUCGGAGAGGCAGGCGGAAUUCCUAGUGUAGCGGUGAAAUGCGUAGAUAUUAGGAGGAACACCAGUGGCGAAGGCGGCCUGCUGGACGACAACUGACGGUGAGGCGCGAAAGCGUGGGGAGCAAACAGGAUUAGAUACCCCAGUACU